AACAUCGCGCACCUGCGGGAACCUGCGGAAGGAUCAUUACAGAGUUGCAAAACUCCCUAAACCAUUGUGAACGUUACCUAAACCGUUGCUUCGGCGGGCGGCCCGGGUCCUUCCCGGCGCCCAUCGGCCCUCGCGGGCGCCCGCCGGAGGUAAACCAAACUAUUGCAUUGUAUGGCCUCUCUGAGUCUUUUGUACUGAAUAAGUCAAAACUUUUAACAACGGAUCUCAGAUCGGAAGAGC
rnacentral:misc_RNA from 1 species